UCCUACGGGAGGCAGCAGUGAGGAAUAUUGGUCAAUGGACGAGAGUCUGAACCAGCCAAGUAGCGUGAAGGAUGACUGCCCUAUGGGUUGUAAACUUCUUUUAUAUGGGAAUAAAAUGUUCCACGUGUGGGAUUUUGUAUGUACCAUAUGAGUAAGGAUCGGCUAACUCCGUGCCAGCAGCCGCGGUAAUACGGAGGAUCCGAGCGUUAUCCGGAUUUAUUGGGUUUAACGGGUGCGUAGGCGGAACAUUAAGUCAACGGUAAAAUCGAGGGGCUCAACCCCUUUAAGCCGUUGAAACUGGUGAU
rnacentral:rRNA from 1 species